rnacentral:rRNA from 1 species
GAUGAACGCUGGCGGCGUGCCUAACACAUGCAAGUCGAGCGAAUGGAUUAAGAGCUUGCUCUUAUGAAGUUAGCGGCGGACGGGUGAGUAACACGUGGGUAACCUGCCCAUAAGACUGAGAUAACUCCGGGAAACCGGGGCUAAUACCGGAUAACAUUUUGAACCGCAUGGUUCGAAAUUGAAAGGCGGCUUCGGCUGUCACUUAUGGAUGGACCCGCGUCGCAUUAGCUAGUUGGUGAGGUAACGGCUCACCAAGGCAACGAUGCGUAGCCGACCUGAGAGGGUGAUCGGCCACACUGGGACUGAGACACAGCCCAGAAUCCUACGGGAGGCAGCAGUAGGGAAUCUUCCGCAAUGGACGAAAGUCUGACGGAGCAACGCCGCGUGAGUGAUGAAGGCUUUCGGGUCGUAAAACUCUGUUGUUAGGGAAGAACAAGUGCUAGUUGAAUAAGCUGGCACCUUGACGGUACCUAACCAGAAAGCCACGGCUAACUACGUGCCAGCCGCCGCAGUAA